GGCUAGUCUGAAGGUAGUGAGUUAUCUCACGUGAUUAUUCACAGUCAGUUACAGAUUGAACUCCUUGUUCUACUACUUUCCCUCCUCCUCACUACUGCACUUGACUAGUCUUAA
rnacentral:Y_RNA from 1 species